AUAUUGCACAACACCGGGGGGAUGAGAAACCCCGACCGGGGUUCGUCAACUGGCGACAGCCAGUUGGACAGUCCGCGAACGCAGUGAGUGGGCUGCCCGCAGGGCGAGUGAAGCGAGUCAAUCCCCCCCUCACCGCCA
rnacentral:sRNA from 1 species